UACGUAGGGUCCAAGCGUUAAUCGGAAUUACUGGGCGUAAAGCGUGCGCAGGCGGCUUCGCAAGUCAGACGUGAAAUCCCCGGGCUUAACCUGGGAAUGGCGUUUGAGACUACGGAGCUGGAGUGUGGCAGAGGGAGGUAGAAUUCCACGUGUAGCGGUGAAAUGCGUAGAUAUGUGGAGGAAUACCGAUGGCGAAGGCAGCCUCCUGGGCCAACACUGACGCUCAUGCACGAAAGCGUGGGGAGCAAACAGG
rnacentral:rRNA from 1 species